rnacentral:lncRNA from 1 species
CAGAGGAAGGAAGGAGGAGCUCCAGAGAGGGUGGCGGCCCCUCUACCUCUUGCUGCCUCGCUCUCUGGGUUUGCCGCGGAGGAAAGCACGUGCUUCCCCUGCAGUCUGCCAGCAUGACCUUUUUGCAGGUAAAUGCACUGGAGAGGAACAACGAGGUCAAAUAAGUGCUAGAAGCAAAAGUGUCUCAGUUGUGAUUCUGCCACUGCUUGGAUUUUCCCCGUGAAACUCAAGCCUUGGAAUUUUGGAGGGAAAGAAUGUUGCAGACGCUGAGGUAAAAGGAUCCAGCAAGGCCAUGGUCCUGCCACCAUCUACCCAGAGAACUGUCCAAGUAGAAACGGAGUACCACAUCUUAACAGGAAAGAAAAAAAAUCGGACCUGGACUGUAGAUGAAAUGCAAAGCUAUAGAGAUACAAGAGUGAAGUCUAAAGGGAGGUAUCGUUGCUUCCUCUAGCUACUGUAAAUGAAUGAGCAGUAUGGAAAUGAAUGGAAAAGCAUUACAUGAGUCAGCAAGCUGCUCUGUUUCGUUACUGCUCUUAGACAUUUGAUGCUCUACAGCCAUUUGAUAUGCAAAGAAAGAGUUACAGAUCUCUUCCCUUAGCUCUGUCCCCUGGGCUCUUUCCACCAGGCAAUUGGACAGAAGCACAGCUACAUCUGAGGCAUCAAAUAGGGAAGAAGGAGUUCCUUUGCAGUCAUGGAGAGUCACACAAGGGACACAGGUAGACUAUAAGCUUUCCACUUCAUGUUGAGAAGAAAAACACGAGUGAGGAUAUAGAAAAAAAUAUUCAAUGUGAAUAUCACUGGAAAUACAUCAGUUCUUUUAUUUUUAUGUGUGGUUACACAAGACUCUGCUUGAUUGACUGUGGUUAAACAUGAAGAAAAUCAAGCGAAGCAAUGGAGCAAAGAACAACGCAGGUGCUCUUUUCCUGAGGUUUUUGAAAUAGUGCACUAUGUGCAAAGCCAGUGAGCCGCACUUUGUGUUGGCUGGCUGGGGAAACAGGUAGGAAAUCAGUGGGACUGCAGAGUACCCUGGGAAAGUAAUUUACUUUCUGCCAAAUGGGGAGGCAUAAGGUGCUUCUCACAAAAGUAGCCUCUGGGUUAAUAUGCUUCAGUUCAGUCACACCAAGAAAACAUUUUCUGGAUUUAUGUUUUGCUGUUGUACUAUUUCACUAUUUCACUAGUUGGCUUUUUUGUAUGUCGUAUUUUGCUAUGUUCUUUUCCUCUGGCAGACAAAAAUAUUUUUUAGAUAAGUCAUUUUCUGACUGCCCCACUCAUAUACAGAAGUUAUUUUACUUUGUUCUAUACUUCUAAAGAGUUCUGUAAGAGUUAAUUAUAAUUAUUUUGAAGUUUGUGAAUGAUUAUUUGGAAAAGGAAUCAUUUUUGCAUUGUUCAUUCUACUAACAAGAUAUAAUAUAUAAGUAGUUCCCAAUCUGUUUCACAGCUUAAAACACACUUCUUAUUUUUGUGGGAAAUAAAAAAAGAAAACAAGGGUAAGGAAAAGCUUAAAGUUAAGGAAAAAAAAAAUGUUAGCAAGCAGAAGGAACAUCCUUAUAUGGUUAUUCUAAUACCACCUUCUACUGAAUGUUCAUUCAACUCAUGCAGCUUGAAAGUUUCCUUCAGAUCUGUAACUUUAUCUAGAUGCCAGUCUAGCAACUCUGUACUCUUUAAAGCUUAAAGUCUUAAGCACUGUUUUUCUUUUAUGCCAAAUGCUGAUCAGUAUGGUGGUAAAACUCAGGGCAAAAUAAAGAUCUUUAAUGGGUGUGAAAAAAUGAAAUUGUCUGGAGCUCAGGCCAGAAGGAUAAAAUAACAUUUCUGUUUCUAACAAAAUUAUGUAGUACGAAAAGGAAAUAGUUUUUGAGAUGGCUUUCAGUUUUCAGCGGAACUCCAUCCUGAAAAACAGCAGUGGGUCACGGAGAGACCUGAAGAACCAAAGGUCACAGCUGAAAAAUUGAAUGACUCUGUAUUGAGCUCAGACUGGUUACAGAUAUAUUAUAAACUUAGGUUUAUCAACACAAGCAUAGCCUGACAAUAAAACCACAUCACUGUUACAUACCCUGUUUCCUGAGCCUGAGCUGCAUUAGAAUGCAGACAACACGACUUGGGACUGGUAUCAGUGAAAUGAAUUGGAGUUCAUUUAUAGAGGCUGUUUUCAGACUGAAAUUUGCAGUACCGUUCUGAUUUUCUAAUCGUCAGAAAGAACAGGAGUCACUUUGAUGUUACUGAUAUACACACUGAAAUUCAACCCUUUUUCUUUUUUUCUUUCCUUAAAAGCUUAUCUUAGCCUUGACAAGGGUGUGUUUAAAUUGUUUUCUUUCUCACAGGCUUAUUGUAAAAGCCUUGUUAUUGUCAUCUGACAUCUACAGAAAGGUGAGUCAGUGCUUGUAAUGAAGAAAGAUAAGCAUUUAUCAAAGUGGAUUCCUUGCACCUUGUUUACAGUCGGAAAGUAAAAGAAGCUU